rnacentral:rRNA from 1 species
AGGACGAAUGCUGGCGGUGUGCUUCAUACAUGCAAGUCGAACGGGGUAGCAAUACCUAGUGGCGCACGGGUGAGUAACACGUGACUAACCUACCCUCGAGUGGGGAAUAACUUCGGGAAACCGAGGCUAAUACCGCAUAAAACCUAAGGGUCAAAGGAGCAAUCCGUUUGAGGAGGGGGUCGCGGCAGAUUAGUUAGUUGGCGGGGUAAUGGCCCACCAAGACGAUGAUCUGUAUCC